rnacentral:rRNA from 14 species
CGUACCCUAAACCGACACAGGUGGACUGGUAGAGAAUACCAAGGCGCUUGAGAGAACGAUGUUGAAGGAACUCGGCAAAAUACCUCCGUAAGUUCGCGAGAAGGAGGCCCAGUUUCUACGCAAGUAUUGGCUGGGGGCACAAACCAGGGGGUGGCGACUGUUUAUUAAAAACACAGGGCUCUGCGAAGUCGCAAGACGACGUAUAGGGUCUGACGCCUGCCCGGUGCCUGAAGGUUAAAAGGAGGGGUGCAAGCUCCGAAUUGAAGCCCAGGUAAACGGCGGCCGUAACGAUAACGGUCCUAAGGUAGCGAAAUUCCUUGUCGGGUAAGUUCCGACCUGCACGAAUGGCGUAACGAUCGCCCCACUGUCUCCACCCGAGACUCAGUGAAAUCGAAAUCGCAGUGAAGAUGCUGUGUACCCGCGGCUAGACGGAAAGACCCCGUGAACCUUUACUACAGCUUGGCACUGAACAUUGACCCUACAUGUGUAGGAUAGGUGGGAGGCUUUGAAGCGUUGUCG